AAAGAGGUGACACUGAGAGUUUGUGCAUGUCGCAACCAGGGGUGCUGCCAGAGACUUUAGACCCCAUGAAAGAAUAUAAUACUGGGCCCCCACAGAUCAUCCUUAUAGGCUCCAUUGUUGUAACAAACCACACCUGCAAAACCCAUUUGAGGACCUGAAAUAUUAAUAAUAAAUGUAUGUUUGCAGGCUGGAGUCUCUGCUGUAGUCCCAUGGUAAUCACCUCACAUGUAGUCUACUGGCAUUGAGCAUUGGUGUGUAACAUGAUGAAUACAUUGCACUUUAUUACUGAAUCAUACUUCAGGUCCAUCGUGUUAACCAGCUCAUUGACUCUCCACUGCCCAAAGUCAAAUGGUGUCAAUUAAUCAGGUGUAUGGAUUUAUAUGGAUUUGUCUUUUAAAUAACACAUGGAAAACAUUUUGUGCUUUUGUGUCUAAUUUAUAGUUUCUCUUUAUUUUAGAUACAUAUUGAAACCUGUUUUACAUCUUAAAUCUUAUUUUUUUUGUAUCCCCAGUUGUUGUGGGACAGUUGUCGCUACCUGUUUAUGUUGUUUGUGUGUUCAUGUUGUAACAAUAUUUAAUGCUGCUUUCUUGACCAGGUCUCUCUUUAAAAAGACUUUAAUGUCAACAAGACUGUGACCUCAGCAGCUUUCCUGUACAACUAGCACCUUCAACAAAAGGAGCAUUGUUUCAUGUACGCUGCUGACAAAGCCAAUACAUUUACAUUUCCUUCUUGAUAACCAAAAAGCAUCACCCAGAGAGCAGAUAUUUGCAUCCUGUAGGACUGAAAAAAACCUCCUCACUUUGGAUUUGCAUGAAGUUCAUGGAAACAGGGAACUGCUGUUUUUAGCUUUUGGAUGGACACAGAGGCCUCUAUCAUUUAUUUUGAUAUGGGUAGAUCCUGUUGCAAACACUGAAUACAGUGGAAGAAACGUGUUUCCAAAGAACAUCAGACAGAAACAACACACACAAUGUUGAUUUGCGUUCAUCCAAAGUUUCACUAUAUAUUGUAGGUUUUAACAUCAAUGUCAAAAUGUACAUUUUGCUGAUUUAUUGUUUUAUACAUCAGACAAACAUGAAGGAAUAUGAAGAACUGUCAAUGUCAAAGAUGACACUACAUGUUUAAUUUGGGAAAAACUGAGAAAGCAAAACAUUUCGUUUGCUUCAAGUUUGAAUACAUUCAGACAACUGUACACUACUCAAUAAAACUAAAUGAACAGAUUUAAUUUAAAUGUUGUUUCAUGUCACCAGUAUGGUAUGGUCACAGUAGCACAGUGGGUGGUUACAUUUGCUCAUUUAGAGAUGGUAUCCAAGAAAUAAUGAAGCAUUAAAUCAAUUUGACCCUUAAGAAACAGCCAUCCAUCCAUCCAUCCAUCCAUCCAUCCACUGUCAACUACUUAUCUGGAACCAAGUAGAUGGGGCAGCAGGCUAAUCUAGGUACUUCAGACAUCCCUUUCCCCAGCAACCUUUUCCAGCUCCUCCAUGGGUAUCCCGAGGCCUUCCCAUCCCAGAUUGGAUAUAUAAUCCCUCCAGCAUGUUCUCAGUCUGCCCUGGGGUCUCCUACCUACCCUUAUUAAACAGUCAAACAAGAAACAUGCACCAAAAUCAGACUGAAAACAUCUCCUUAGCACCAAGUCAGCUAUAAGCAAAAUGACUUAUUUGCCACAGAUGUUUUUAAUAACUUGUGUGCCCCUCUCUAACGUUCACACACUCCUGGCAAUGACGUGAAAUACACCUGAUGAUCAUCACAAUAUAAUUUUGGGGUAUGUCCUUCCAUUGUUCAACCAAGGCACUGGGGAUGCUCUGAACAUUACCUGAAGGAUGCUCUCAGCCUCUAACACCUGGAUAGCAUGUCCCAGACAUUCAGGAUUGGGUUUAGGUCAGGAGACCACAGACUCUACCAGUCCACCACAGAGAUACCUUCGUCCUCAAGGAAGGUCAUGGACAGCCCAGCUGUGUGGGGAUGGUCAUUAUCUUACUUUAAAGGGAUAGUUUGGAUUUUCCUAAAUGAGGCUGUAUGAGCUACUCAGAUAUAGUCAGUGUAUUAUGUACAGUAGAUGGCCGUCAGCACUCUCCCUGUUUGGAGAAGCAGACGGGAGUAGCACCACAGGAGCUCAGUAAUGCAUUGCUGUGGAUGGGGGUUUGCAGCAAAACAUAUUUUAGCCUCUUUAAAAAGGUCUACCAGUAAACUAAAGUUUGGAAAUCUCCUCACACUUGUACCCUAUGUUACAGUGUAUACACAUUACACACUGACAGUGUCUUUAGACUUAACAUAACCUCCCCCCAAAAUUAAAAAUCACUCUCAAUCCCUUAUAAACAAAUGAGCACUCUGGUGUGGGUGUGUUUCUUUGGCCAAAAGGCGGAGGAGGUAAACAGCUCUAUAAAGUGAUGCACAGUGAAGACUCCGGUUCACAUUUUCCUACCCACCCUCCAUACGCAUUUUACAGAGCCACAAGUCUUCAUUUAUUGGAAGCCAUGGCACAGUUCAUCCAUCUCUUGCUGCUGCUGGAUAUGUGUCAUGUUGCAGCAACAUAUGUUUAUGAAAGACAGGUGUGGCUGCUGGAGGGAAGCAGUGCCACUUUCCCAUUUCCUAAAGAUAAUGGUCGAACCAUUAAAUACUGUGGCAGAGGAGGCAGCAAGUGUGAAUGUGAUUCAGGCAGGUGUAAGUCCAAUAAUGCCAGCCUCCCCGGAGUCACAGUGACUGACAGAGCCCUCACCAUUACCAACUUUACGCGAGAGAAUGAUGACAUCAACCUCUGCUAUGAUCAAUUACAACGGUGUGUGUAUCUGAAUGUGUCAAUAGGUUGUUCAGAGUCGCAUUUUUUGACCUUUGCAAAAGGUCAACCCAAACACAAGAUGACGACUGUUGCUGACUGCAGGAGACUCUGUACUGAAGAUCCCACCUGCCAAUACUUCACAUUUUAUAAACCCAAUAAAAACUGUUACCUGAUGACAUCAAGAGAUGACAUGCUGAUACACCUUCAUUCCAACGCUGUCUCAGGGAACAACUGUGAUGAGGAAGAGGAAGAAGAAGGUGAGCAGUAUCUGUCUGGUAGUAGCUAUUGUUUUACCCAGAGAAAUAAUUGGAGCCAAUAAUAAUAACAAUAAUAAUAAUGAUCAUGAUAAUGAUAAUAAUGCCACUUUUCACUGUAUGUUCUGUCUCUUUUGUGUCCUGUAGGUCCAAAUUGCCAAUAGAUUAUAUUCUAGACGGGAGCUGAAAAUGAUGGUGUAUGCCUUCGCUACUGAUUUUUGCAUUGACUGUUCAUUGCACUUGUACUCACUUUCUAAUAACUGACUGAUUUGCUUUCUGUGGGAAAUAUUUACUCAUAUUUUACUCAACUGAAUGUAUCAAUAAUCAGUGUAUAAUCAGAAUCAAGAAACACAUAAUCAUUGUUAAUCAUGUUUUGUUGUUACCCUAGUUAGGAGCUAAAAAUGAUGGUGUAUGCCUUCACCAUCUGUGCUCAAGUUGGUGUGUUUGCACUCAGGUGAUGUCAUGAUGUUCUGAGUUUAAGAGACAAUGGUGGCAGAGGUAGAGCGUAGUGAUCGGAGGGCUCUGCCAACAAGGCCUACAAUGGGAGGGGAAUGUGAACAGCAUGAAAGUGAAUGUAAUAUUGAAACAACUGAGUCUGCUCCAGGGUCCAGGUCAGUCAGUGUGUGUGUGUGUGUGUGUGUGUGUGUGUAAUCUUUAAAGACUCACAGUUAAUCUAUUUCACUUUGAACUCUGAUGGACUGCAUUUUAUUUACUGGUAAAGUGUGGGUAAAGAUCUAAUGAAACAAGCCUGAAGAAGCAUUUUUAUUCCACAUUUCUUUCCCUGUAAAACCAAUAUUGUGAUUUAUUUAAUGCAGGUUCCUAUAUAAUAUC